rnacentral:tRNA from 1 species
AUUUAAAUAGUUUAAAAAAAAAUUUUGAUUUGUGGAAUCAAAGAUAUAAGGCAUUAUUUUAAAUA